UCAUGAUGGUGCUCGUGAUCGUGGUCGUGAUGAUGGUCGUGGUCGUGAUGAUGCUCGUGAUCAUGGUCAUGGUCGUGAUCAUGAUGAUGCUCUGCC
rnacentral:pre_miRNA from 1 species